rnacentral:rRNA from 1 species
UCUUCCUACGGGGGGCAGCAGUGGGGGAUAUUGCACAAUGGAGGAAACUCUGAUGCAGCGACGCCGCGUGAGGGAAGACGGUCUUCGGAUUGUAAACCUCUGUCUUUGGGGAAGAAAAUGACGGUACCCAAAGAGGAAGCUCCGGCUAACUACGUGCCAGCAGCCGCGGUAAUACGUAGGGAGCGAGCGUUGUCCGGAAUUACUGGGUGUAAAGGGUGCGUAGGCGGCCUGCUAAGUCUGGAGUGAAAGGUACCGGCUCAACCGGUACAGGCUCUGGAAACUGGCGGGCUAGAGAGCAGGAGAGG